rnacentral:rRNA from 1 species
AGUGAACGCUGGCGGUAGGCCUAACACAUGCAAGUCGAACGGCAGCACAGUAAGAGCUUGCUCUUACGGGUGGCGAGUGGCGGACGGGUGAGGAAUACAUCGGAAUCUACUUUUUCGUGGGGGAUAACGUAGGGAAGCUUACGCUAAUACCGCAUACGACCUACGGGUGAAAGCAGGGGAUCUUCGGACCUUGCGCGAUUGAAUGAGCCGAUGUCGGAUUAGCUAGUUGGCGGGGUAAAGGCCCACCAAGGCGACGAUCCGUAGCUGGUCUGAGAGGAUGAUCAGCCACACUGGAACUGAGACACGGUCCAGACUCCUACGGGAGGCAGCAGUGGGGAAUAUUGGACAAUGGGCGCAAGCCUGAUCCAGCCAUACCGCGUGGGUGAAGAAGGCCUUCGGGUUGUAAAGCCCUUUUGUUGGGAAAGAAGAGCAGCAGGUUAAUACCCCGCUGUUCUGACGGUACCCAAAGAAUAAGCACCGGCUAACUUCGUG